rnacentral:rRNA from 1 species
AUGGAAAAGAGGGUCCUCGAUGACAUAGCAGAAAUCUGGGAAAGCAGACAAGAUUCAAAACAGAGUGACGGAGUAAUAUUAGGCCCAAACUUUGCAGAGAUAUUCGUUCCAAUAGAGAGGCAUGACCGCUAUGUACUAUAUGUGCUGGACAAAUACAAACACAAAGUACACAUUAUUGAUCCUCGAGAAACGACUCCAAAGGAAUUUGAGAAAGAAAAGAUAGACGUGGAUAAAUUGGAUAUAAAAGAAGCAUCUCGAGUUCUUCAGGAAAAUGAAGAUGCUAAAAAAGAAAGAGAAAGACAGUUUCAGGAAUAUCAUGUUCAUAAGUCGGCAAUCGUACCUAGGUUUAAAGAAGUCUUCAACACCAUACUAGGACAAACAAUGAAUGCCAAGGGUACAAGAUGGCAGAUUCAUACCGUGUAA